UACGAAGGGGGCUAGCGUUGCUCGGAAUCACUGGGCGUAAAGCGCACGUAGGCGGCUUCUUAAGUCAGGGGUGAAAUCCUGGAGCUCAACUCCAGAACUGCCUUUGAUACUGAGGAGCUCGAGUCCGGGAGAGGUGAGUGGAACUCCGAGUGUAGAGGUGGAAAUUCGUAGAUAUUCGGAAGAACACCAGUGGCGAAGGCGGCUCACUGGCCCGGUAUUGACGCUGAGGCGCGAAAGCUAGGGGAGCAAACGGG
rnacentral:rRNA from 1 species